CACCACACAACGUCAUAUCAAUACCAUUAAAAUUGGUUAAAAUGGUGUCGUUCCCAGUCUCUUAUAUGGACUAAGCCAACCGAAUCAACAAACACCCAUUCUGCUUGUUUUCAAAUCCUUAAUCCCCUCUGCUAAAUGUCGAUUCAUCUUCACCAUGUGAGACUCUUCAAGCCUGAAGAAAUCUUAGCCCGAAAUCCCUCAUCAACUUCGAUUUCGACGAAGAAGGGAGAAGAAAUCCAUGGCUUGCUCGCACGGUAAGGUCCUUUCCUCUUUCACUUUAUUUGCUUUUGAAAUAAAAUAAAAUAAAAAAAUAAUACAAAACAAGAGAAUAAUCACAAAAAGAAAGCCCGGAGAUUUAGAUCGGAAAAUCACCUUCUGAUAUUGGUUGCCUUUUUUUAUUGCCUAUUGUGUGUUUCCAAAAAAAUACAAUGAUCGAAUGCCUUUCUUUUAUAGCCGAAAAUGAUAGAAAUAAAUAAGUAGAAAAUACAAAAUUCUUUCUUUGCUUUCGCAUUGGGUAUAUGCUGUUGUUGCUCGUUUGUUUUUUUUGCAGGUACGGGUGCAAGGCGCGUGUACGGGGGUCGCGCUGGCGCUUGGCGUGAGGCGUACGGAGGCGUGCGUGGCGGUCGUACAGGGCUGAAGGCGCAUGGAGGCUGCUGUUGUGGCGCAGGAGAAAAGGGGGUGACCUAGGGUUUCUAAAACUGUUGGGGAAAUGGGCUUAUUGGGCUUGCUCUGAUUUGAGUUUUAAUAUUAGUUUGGGCUUGUAAUAGGUAUUAGUUUGUAAAAGGAUAUUAUUCCCUUAAGCUUUAAUAAAUAACAAUUUCAUCCCUACUCAAUUAGCCUCUCAAUUGAGCUGAUUUUUCUCAAUUAACACUUUAUUCUAUCACUUUGAACUACUUUACAACUUUUGGAAAUCAUAAUUUCAGCACUAGACUUUAAUUCCAAACAUUUUCACAAUUAGGUUCUAACUAAUUCAUUCACUUCACUAACUUAAAUCAUACUCUAUUUCUAUUCAAGUUCCAUCCCAACUCAAAUUUAACUAUUAAAUUUUCAGCUUAUUUAACUAGUUUCGAAAUUUCCUCAAAUUAGCCCUUCAACAUAAAAUUUAUGAAUUACUUUACAAUUCAAUCCUUAUUUCAUUUCUAACUUGAAUUUCUAUCAAUUUAACCCUUAUUUCAUCAUUUUACUCAACAUGAACAUUAUCUAGAAAUCUAAUAACUUUCAAAAUAUCAACUUAGUUUCAUCAAAAUCUUAUUCCAAAGCUUCUAAAACAUCAAAAUUAAGUAAAAAGGGCUAAAUUGACUUACCUAUUAAACUUCCAAGCUUCACACCUUGAAUUUUCCCUUUUCUUCUUUCUUUUCUCUUUUUCUUUCUUUCCUUCCCCUGUCUCUGUUUCGUUUGCUUUGUUUCUUCAUUCUAUCCUUUUUUUUUCUUUAUUUCCCCCUUUU
rnacentral:lncRNA from 1 species